CUUUGAUUAUCCAAGUUUGUUCACACUUAGUUCAAUGACCUUAACAGAUUGAUUCAAUAGAAGUUUUCUCACCUGGCAAAGAUAUAAGGGACCGGCCCUUGCGAGUGAUUCAGUCUCUGAAGGACACUGAUGAUAGAUGUGACCACCCAAAUCCUCUGGGAACAUGAGCCUUGAUCUUAGGGGGGACCCCACCCACCUAGGAGACCUUACUUCUGUUUAGAACAGAAUCUAAUCUAGGUGAAUUCCAACCCCAAAGCAUCAAGUCUACACCCCUGCUCCUCUCCAUGAGAGUUUAGGGUAACCCAGCUCACACAGGAGAAAACCAACCACAGCGGUCUGGGUAGAGAUGGAUUCCUUUGUCUGGAUGGCUGGGGGCAGCUGAGUCUUAGGAUCAAGCCGUGAUCUCAGCAGGAGGAACUGAAGGCUUUCAUCCAACUCCUCAUUUGAAAGUCCACCCCCUCAUGAAUUGUUCACCAAUCAGAGCUGAUUUUCACCUCUCGGGGCACCCCUUUUUCCAAAGAUGAAAAUCAUUGAAUGCAAUGAAAUGAUGUUAAACAGGAAGUGCAUUGGGAUUGUCCGAAGAGAUUUGGUGAUGUCCUGUGCAUCUUAAGAAGAACAAGAAAGCUGGUUUGAAACCUGUACCUUCAAGUGCCUGGACAGCCUGGAAAAGAGAGAGAAGUCCAGCUAAGCCUCCAAGAGGUAGUCACUUGGCUGGAGGUGGGGCAGGGCAGAACACAGACCAUCUCCUCUCACCUUUGGCCAGAGGAUAAUCUUGAAAAUUUUGAAGGGUCAGGAGAUUUUGGGUAUCAUAGCAGUGCCCCUAGAAUAGCUGAUAGAGGCUCUUUAUCAGUAACUCCAAACACACAAGUUUCCUUGAGAAACAGCAGCUUCAGAACUCUCCAAAGAACCAGCAGAAGCUACCGAAGAUGAACUUCAUGAGGGAACCUCUGAGGGAGGAAAGGACUUUCACCCAGUCCUGAGCUGUGAAUUGGCCACCUGGGAUCUCUAAGCACACAGACUUAGAGGCCACCUUCCCUGGGACUCUGUUGGUACCUGUGGGGGAGUGUGUCCAGACUUUUGUGGGAUGCUUCGUACUGGCUGUUUUUACUAUACCACCUAAGUAAAUAGUCCU